GACGAACGCUGGCGGCGUGCUUAACACAUGCAAGUCGAGCGGUAAGGCCCUUUCGGGGGUACACGAGCGGCGAACGGGUGAGUAACACGUGGGUGACCUGCCCUCAGCUCUGGGAUAAGCCUGGGAAACUGGGUCUAAUACCGGAUAUGACUUCGCAUCGCAUGGUGUGGGGUGGAAAGUUUUUCGGCUGGGGAUGGGCCCGCGGCCUAUCAGCUUGUUGGUGGGGUGAUGGCCUACCAAGGCGACGACGGGUAGCCGGCCUGAGAGGGCGACCGGCCACACUGGGACUGAGACACGGCCCAGACUCCUACGGGAGGCAGCAGUGGGGAAUAUUGCGCAAUGGGCGAAAGCCUGACGCAGCGACGCCGCGUGAGGGAUGACGGCCU
rnacentral:rRNA from 1 species